GGGACAAACUGUCACCAGGUCUCUCCUGCCCUUGCAGCUGUAUGGCAGGGUAUGCUACCCACUGCAGCCCUCUCCAUUCCUGUCUUGUGUUCUAGAGACAGGGCCAUCAUACCUGCCCUUCUGUCUGUGGUACCUUGCUCCCACUUCUUUAUGGCUAGCCUUUCCUCAGGCUGCAGAUCUCUGCACAGGCUCCCAGUGCCAGAAGGUUCUGCUGCCCUUUCCUUUCAUGGGAUCCCUGACGUACUGACUGACAGGGUCUACAUCUAUCAGUGUCCUGUGUGGUUGGUGGCUGGGCGUUUCCAGGAUCCUACUGUAGCUCCAUGUGGGAACCAGGUCUUCGUGAGUACAUGUGUCCCAAGCACCUCUGGAUGUCUCUUUGUUCUGUCUCUCUGUGCACCACCGAGUCAGAGCCAGCACCACCAUUCAGCUAUAG
rnacentral:lncRNA from 1 species